rnacentral:rRNA from 1 species
GACGAACGCUGGCGGCGUGCCUAAUACAUGCAAGUCGAACGCAGUGGGGACGGGUGAGUAACACGUGGGUAACCUCCCAUCAGAGGGGAUAACACUUGGAAACAGGUGCUAAACCGAUACUGAUGGAUGGACCCGCGGUGCAUUAGCUAGGUGGUGAGGUAACGGCUAACCAAGGCCACGAUGCAUAGCCGACCUGAGAGGGUGAUCGGCCAUACGAGGACUGAGACACGGCCCAGCCUCCUCCGAGAGGCAGCAGUGGGGAAUCUUCGGCAAUGGACGAAAGUCUGACCGAGCAACGCCGCUUGAGUGAAGAAGGUUUUCGGAUCGUAAAACUCUGUUGUUAGAGAAGCGGUAUCUAACCAGAAAGCCACGGCUAGCUACGUACCAGCAGACGCGGUAAUAC